CAUGGCGAAUUGUAGUCUAUUGAGGCUGUUGUCAGCAUAGCGAUCCGGGACAAGUCCCUUGGAAAAGGGCAGCAUGGAGGGUGAUACUCCCGUCUCUGCUCGGAUUUGCCGUGUGUACGAUACGCUUUCUUUGAGUCGAUUUGUUUGGGAAUACAGAUCAAAGUAGGUGGUAAAUUCCAUCUAAAGCUAAAUAUUGGUGCGAGACCGAUAGCGAACAAGUACCGUGAGGGAAAGAUGAAAAGAACUUUGAAAAGAGAGUUAAAGAGUACCUGAAACUGAUUAAAGGGAACCGUAUCGUUUCCAGUGUUGUAUCCUGUGCAUAUUUCAUUAGCGGAGCAAUUUGCUGGUGCCCUGUGCAUGGGUGUGACGUCAGAGUCAAUUUGUAUGCUGCGGGAGAUGGUCAGUAAGGAGGUGCGUCGCUUCGGUGAAAGUUAUACCUUGCUGUCUAGUAGCCGUGGUUGAGAUUGAGGUGCCUACAACAUGCCUUGGGGUGCAGUGCUGUCUUGUUUUGGUGACUGCUUGGAUAGCUUGCUAUGUUUGCGGUUAAUCAGGGCAAUUGAUGGUGCUGUUAACCCCUGCUGUUCGGGACUCUGGCGAAAUGGAGCGAUACGACCCGUCUUGAAACACGGACCAAGGAGUCUAACAUGUGUGCAAGUAUUAGGGCGUGGAAACCCAAAUGCGUAAUGAAAGUAAAUGCUGCUUAUGCAGCUCUGGUAGGAAAGGGCUGUAAUGGUCCUGGCACUAUCGACCGAUCAUGAGCCUACGGGGCGAAAGAUUUGAGUAUGAGCAUAUAUGUUGGUACCCGAAAGAUGGUGAACUAUGCCUGAAUAGGGUGAAGCCAGGGGAAACUCUGGUGGAAGCUCGUAGCGAUUCUGACGUGCAAAUCGAUCGUCAAAUUUGGGUAUAGGGGCGAAAGACUAAUCGAACCAUCUAGUAGCUGGUUCCCUCCGAAAUUUCCCUCAGGAUAGCAGCAACUUUUUACGAUAGUUUUAUGAGGUAAAGCGAAUGAUUAGAGGCCUCGGGGAAGAAACUUCCUCGA
rnacentral:rRNA from 1 species